AAAAUUACAGAAUUGAACCGCUGGUUACAUCACAUAACUAUAGCGAAACAACUUUGUGCCUUACUGGACCCCUGCAAAACCAGAACACAGAUUCACUUGUGCCCUUGCUAACUGUCUGUCACUCAGCUCCCCCAAGCUUUGUGCUGAUACCAACCACAGAAUUAGGUCCAACAGAACUUUUAACAAAUCAUGGUCGAUUCAGAUCAGAUAUGAUCAAUAUCCUUCUAUGUAUGUACUUGAACAAAAACAUGUAGCAUACACAUUGUGUUGAAUGUGUUGGUAUUCAUCAACCCAGGACCUUCUUGACUUCCUGAAUGAACUUGGCUCUCUGAGAGGGAUCCAUCUGAACAAGCAUCCAAAGGAACAUGUAAGACGGUUACACAAAAAAAAGCUGUAGGUAUUAGAACCAUGAUUUGGCAAGAUGCAGUGUCUAGCACCAUGCAAACGGAAUAGGAACUCUGUGUUAGGAGUAAUCCUGUGCGUGCUGUCCAGGUGCAGAGCUUGUCCAGGUUCAGAGUGUCUAGGUGCAGAGCCUAUUUACUUAGCAGAUUUCCAGCUGCUAGUUAGUGAGAAUAAUAAGCGAAUCAAGGGAGUGAUGGCUGUAGCUAUUAGCUUUCAAUUACAGGCCCUAUUGUAGCUCUUGGCUAUGUAUAAAUAGAGAAGAAAACAGAAAAGGCAGAAAGCAAUUGCAGCACCAAAAGACUACUGUGUAGGUGUGUGUUCUGUGUGUGAGUUCCUAGGUUACCUGUGAGGCUUUAGGCCUUUCACUCUAAAGAAGUGAGAUGCAGCAAAAAAGCACCAGUUGGAACCCAAGUUAAAUACAAAUACUAAUUGGUAAAACCAGCAGAUAGCAAGCUUACCUUAUCUAAUAAUGUGGAAAGACCCUGUGAGAAUGCUUCUAGAUCUGAACUGGAGUCUGCAAGAUCGGAGAGCGACUGAGACACCUUUUGAGCCCUUAACUCUUGGAUAUAUCCCUUAUAGUUUUCAGGAUUCUCCUUCCAGGCAACAAAAGCAUCAUCAUCAUCCCAUUCAGUGCUUCCUGUUGUGGCUUGAGAAGCCAAGUACCAUUCCUUGAUCAGCUCAACUGCUGAUUGGUGAGUGAAGUGGUCACCAGCUAUUCCUCUUAUUUCUUUUGCAAGAACAUCUUCAGAGAUCCUCCUCCGUAGCCUUCUGUAGAAGAAAGAACGUGAUUCUUCCCAAUCUACAACUUUCUUAAUCACACCUUUAGCUGCCAUUCUGAGGGAAGUAUCAUGCAAUUCAGCAAACCGUAUUGCAAUCUGGGUGUAUAAAGGCAACAACUGUUUCGUACGAGCAUCUAUACUCUUCUGAAGGGAUUCUACAUCUGUUAGGCUUCCAUUUCCAAGCUUUGCACCUUGGAGUUUUGCUUUCAGAUUUAUCAACUCUGGGUCAAGCCUACCCAUACAGUCUUGGAGCUCCUCUGAUCUGAAUUUGAUUUCAAUUAACCCUUGAGGUUCAAGAACAUUGCCUUUAGCAGUCCUCUCAGCAUAACACUCAAUUCGGUCUGGAUUUAUUUUGCUAUCAACCACAACCCAAGCUCCUCCACGCAGCUCUCCAGCCAUAGGAAUGUAGACAAAAGCAGGCUGAUUGUAUGUCCUAAGGUUCUCAACAAUUGUUGACCCAGCCUGAAGAAUUCCUUCAAACAGAUCUCUUUGUCCACCAGAGAAUCCUCUCCAGUUAGCAAGGAUGAACAGCGGCAAUCCUUCACGGUUGAAGUCCAACAAUGCCUGAGCUGUCUUGGUUGCAGAAUCUGGGAACCACACUUGUCCAGCCCGAGGAACAGAUCGCUCAUGGGAAUCAAGCUGGCCUGGAUCAGCAGGGAUAAGCUGCAUCAUGGUUUGUGUCUCCACAGCUAUGACACCAACAGGAAUUCCUCCAAGCUUUGCUCUGCCCGUAACCACUGUUUUUGCCCAUCCUUCAAAUGUCUCGACAAAGCUGUCUUUGUCAAACAUACCACCCAACCAUUUCCCUUGGCUGUCAUCUACACCACGAAUGGCUGCGCGCGGAUCACAUGUGUUCUCAGGGAUGUAUGCAACAGGUCUGUCUGGUGGGUCCAAAGGUUUUGUAAUAGGAAGAGGUCCACCAAUGUUGGCAGG
rnacentral:lncRNA from 1 species